rnacentral:lncRNA from 1 species
GGAUAGGACCACAGAGAUACUAUCCUAGUACACAUACGAUGUGCAUGGCCCAUUGGAUGAGCCAUACUAGGAGGUUAUCACUACUUCAUCAUCUUUACUAAUGAGUAGUCAUAGUAUCGGUAUGUAUGUGAGAUACAAAUUUGAAAGACUUUGAAAGAUUAAAAGAAUUUAGAUGUAAAGUAGAAAAGGAUAAAUUAAAAAUUCUUAAAGGUACUUUGAUC